rnacentral:tRNA from 1 species
UAGGAGUUAGUUUAAUUUAGAAUUAUUGAUUGUUGAUCAAAAGGUAGACUCUUAAA